rnacentral:rRNA from 1 species
ACUCCUACGGGAGGCAGCAGUGAGGAAUAUUGGACAAUGGACGCAAGUCUGAUCCAGCCAUGCCGCGUGCAGGAGACUGCCCUAUGGGUUGUAAACUGCUUUAUUUGGGAAUAAACCCUCUACGUGUAGAGGGCUUGAAGGUACCAAAUGAAUAAGCACCGGCUAACUCCGUGCCAGCAGCCGCGGUAAUACGGAGGGUGCAAGCGUUAUCCGGAAUCAUUGGGUUUAAAGGGUCCGCAGGCGGACGUAUAAGUCAGUGGUGAAAGCCUACAGCUUAACUGUA